GUUCAGACGUGUGCUCUUCCGAUCUGUUUCCCAGUCACGAUAAGCAGGCGAUGAAGGACGUGCAAGCCUGCGAAAAGCAGUGGGGAGCUGGCAAUGAAGCUUUGAUCCACUGAUAUCCGAAUGGGGAAACCCACUCCGCAAGGAGUACUCCUGCCUGAAUAUAUAGGGCAGGUAGAGCGAACCGGGAGAACUGAAACAUCUAAGUACCCCGAGGAAAAGAAAUCAACCGAGAUUCCGUAAGUAGUGGCGAGCGAACGCGGAAGAGCCUGUACGUGUUAUGGAUUGUGUUAGUGGAAAGGUCCUGGAAAGGCCAGCCAUAGUGGGUGAUAGCCCCGUACACGAAAAUACAUUCCAAGAACUAGGCGUACGAGAAGUAGGGCGGGACACGCGAAAUCCUGUCUGAAUAUGGGGGGACCAUCCUCCAAGGCUAAAUACUCGUGAUCGACCGAUAGUGAACCAGUACCGUGAGGGAAAGGCGAAAAGAACCCCGGGAGGGGAGUGAAAUAGAACCUGAAACCGGAUGCAUACAAACAGUGGGAGCCUGGAAACGGGUGACUGCGUACCUUUUGUAUAAUGGGUCAGCGACUUACAUUCAGUGGCAAGCUUAACCGAAUAGGGGAGGCGUAGGGAAACCGAGUCCGAAUAGGGCGUCUUAGUCGCUGGGUGUAGACCCGAAACCGAGUGAUCUAUCCAUGGCCAGGAUGAAGGUGCGGUAACACGCACUGGAGGUCCGAACCCACUAGUGUUGCAAAACUAGGGGAUGAGCUGUGGAUAGGGGUGAAAGGCUAAACAAACUCGGAGAUAGCUGGUUCUCCCCGAAAACUAUUUAGGUAGUGCCUCAUGUAUCACUUCCGGGGGUAAAGCACUGUUAUGGCUAGGGGGUCAUUGCGAUUUACCAAACCAUGGCAAACUCUGAAUACCGGAAAGUGCAAGCAUGGGAGACAGACGGUGGGUGCUAACGUCCAUCGUCAAGAGGGAAACAACCCAGACCGCCAGCUAAGGUCCCAAAUGAUCAGUUAAGUGGUAAACGAGGUGGGAAGGCAUAGACAGCCAGGAUGUUGGCUUAGAAGCAGCCAUCAUUUAAAGAAAGCGUAAUAGCUCACUGGUCGAGUCGUCCUGCGCGGAAGAUGUAACGGGGCUCAAACUGAUAACCGAAGCUGCGGAUGGGCACAGUCAAAUGUGUCCGUGGUAGGGGAGCGUUCUGUAGGUCUGUGAAGGUGGUGGUGUAAACCCUGCUGGAGAUAUCAGAAGUGCGAAUGCUGACAUGAGUAGCGAUAAAGGGGGUGAAAAGCCCCCUCGCCGAAAGCCCAAGGUUUCCUACGCAACGUUCAUCGGCGUAGGGUAAGUCGGCCCCUAAGGCGAGGCUGAAAAGCGUAGUCGAUGGGAAACGGGUUAAUAUUCCCGUACUUUUAUACAGUGCGAUGUGGGGACGGAGAAGGUUAGGUCAGCCAACUGUUGGAAUAGUUGGUUCAAGCCGGUAGGUGGUUAGGGUAGGCAAAUCCGCCCUUUCAUUCAACACCGAGACGUGAUAACGAGGAUCUACGGAUCUGAAGUGACUGAUACCACGCUUCCAGGAAAAGCCACUAAGCUUCAGCUGUAUAGAAACCGUACCGCAAACCGACACAGGUGGGCAGGAUGAGAAUUCUAAGGCGCUUGAGAGAACUCAGGAGAAGGAACUCGGCAAAUUGAUACCGUAACUUCGGGAGAAGGUAUGCCUCUGCGUGUGUAGUGACUUGCUCACGAAGCGUGCAGAGGUCGCAGAGAAUAGGUGGCUGCGACUGUUUAUCAAAAACACAGCUCUGUGCCAACACGAAAGUGGACGUAUACGGAGUGACGCCUGCCCGGUGCUGGAAGAUUAAAUGAUGGGGUGCAAGCUCUUGAUUGAAGUCCCAGUAAACGGCGGCCGUAACUAUAACGGUCCUAAGGUAGCGAAAUUCCUUGUCGGGUAAGUUCCGAC
rnacentral:rRNA from 1 species